GACGAACGCUGGCGGCGUGCUUAACACAUGCAAGUCGAGCGGUAAGGCCCUUUCGGGGGUACACGAGCGGCGAACGGGUGAGUAACACGUGGGUGACCUGCCCUCAGCUCUGGGAUAAGCCUGGGAAACCGGGUCUAAUACCGGAUAUGACUCCAUGACGCAUGUUGUGGGGUGGAAAGCCUUGUGCGGCUGAGGAUGGGCCCGCGGCCUAUCAGCUUGUUGGUGGGGGAUGGCCUACCAAGGCGACGACGGGUAGCCGGCCUGAGAGGGCGACCGGCCACACUGGGACUGAGACACGGCCCAGACUCCUACGGGAGGCAGCAGUGGGGAAUCUUGCGCAAUGGGCGAAAGCCUGACGCAGCGACGCCGCGUGAGGGAUGACGGCCUGGUUGUAACGUAC
rnacentral:rRNA from 1 species